GUGGGGGUCUGUGUAUAUUUGUAAACAGCUGGUGCACGAAAUCUAAUAUUAAGGAAGUCUCAAGGUUUUGCUCACCUGAGGUAGAGUAUCUCACGAUAAGCUGUAGACCACACUAUUUACUAAGAGAGUUCUAAUCUAUAUUUUUCGUGGGCUGUCUAUUUACCAUCACAAACUGAUGCUGCCGCUAAGACCGCACUCAAUGAGCUGUAUAAGGCCGUAAGCAAACAGGAAAAAGCUCAUCCAGAGGCAGCGUCCUACUGGCCGGGGACUUUAAACGCAGGGAAACUUAAAUCCAUUUUACCUAAUUUCUACCAGCAUGUUUAAAUGUGCAACCAGAGGAAAAAAUACUCGACCACCUUUACUCCACACACGGAGAUGCAUACCAAGUUCUACCUCGCCCUCCAUUUGGCAAAUCUGACCAUAAUUCUAUGGGAUUCUGGGUUUCUUCUGAUGGCAUUGAUGAGUACAUCACAUCAGUCACUGGCUUCCUCAAUAAGUGCAUCGAUGACGUUGUCCCCACAGUGACCGUACGUACAUACCCCAACCAGAAGCCAUGGAUUACAGGCAACAUCCGCACUGAGCUAAAGGGUAGAGCUGCCGCUUUCCAAGGAGCGGGACUCUAACCCGGACGCUUAUAAGAAAUCCCGCUAAGCCCUCCGACGAACCAUCAAACAGGCAAACCGUCAAUACACGACUAAUAUUAAAUCGUACUAUACCGGCUCUGACGCUCGACGGAUGUGGCAGGACAUGCAAAAUGUUAGACUACAAAGAGAAGCACAGCCACAAGCUGCCCAGUGGCACAAGCCGACCAGACGAGCUAAAUUAAUUCUAUGCUCGCUUCGAGGCUAGCAACACUGAAGCAUGUAUGAUAGCAUCAGCUGUUCCGGACGACUGUGUGAUCACGCUCUCCGUAGCCAAUGUGAGUAAGACCUUUUAAACAGGUCAACAUUCACAAGGCCGCAGGACCAGACGGAUUACCAAGACGUGUACUCCGAGCAUGCGCUGACCAACUGGCAAGUGUCUUCACUGACAUUUUCAACCUGUCCCUGACUGAGUCUAAUACCAACAUGUUUCAUGCAGACCACCAUAGUCGAAUGAUUGGAUGACCCUUGGAUACAGCAGCCAGUAACUGAGGCACAGCAGAUGGAACCAGCGUUGGCAUGCAAAACAUUCAAUCAAAACAAAGCCAAGCGUAACACGUUAUAAAUAAUAUCAAAUAUCAAUGCAGUAUGACGAAUGAGCCAUCCAUUGUGUUAUAUCAUAAAUUGUCUUACAUGCCGUCACUGUUGUCAAAAGAUUAUAAACAUGUUAAAUAAAGUUACUAACCCAGUCAGUCUUUGGGCCACAUCCAGGUUCUUUAUCAGUGGCACACAUGAAGCAGUUGGCUUUGUUGAACUCUGAAAUCAUAGGCAUGAACUGAACAUAUGGCUGUCUGACAACUACAUAAAAAUAAAGAAUUUACAUUUACUUUGAAUUAAAUGUCAUUACAUACCAGACAUUUUUAGCAUAUCCUCAGCCAUUUCUUUUCGCAGUUGCUCCAUGUGUUUUUGAAAGUUCCAUAUCAAUUUGGGAGGGGAUGUUGGGGAAGUUCUGUGCAACUUCCUUGGCCAUCUACACCAAGAAAUAAAAUAGUUUAACC
rnacentral:lncRNA from 1 species